rnacentral:rRNA from 1 species
UACGGAGGGGGCUAGCGUUGUUCGGAAUUACUGGGCGUAAAGCGCGCGUAGGCGGCUUUGUAAGUUAGAGGUGAAAGCCCGGGGCUCAACCCCGGAACUGCCUUUAAGACUGCAUCGCUAGAAUCCAGGAGAGGUGAGUGGAAUUCCGAGUGUAGAGGUGAAAUUCGUAGAUAUUCGGAAGAACACCAGUGGCGAAGGCGGCUCACUGGACUGGUAUUGACGCUGAGGUGCGAAAGCGUGGGGAGCAAACAGG